rnacentral:lncRNA from 1 species
AAGAUAAAAUUAAAAACUUAAAAAAUCCUCUUUAAAUUAUUGAUAUUUCCUUAAAGUUCCUACAAGAAAGAUAAAAUUAAAAACUUGAAAAUGAAAUAGUCAUAAUCUUUACCUAUGAUAUUAUAAAUCUUUGGAAUUGACAAGGAUAAAAUUGUCAAAAAAUAGGGUUUGUGCUUUUCGUGCCAACAAUUUUAGUUUUUUUUUAGUUAUGUCAGUCUACAAACUGUUGUUAAGGGCAAUAUUAUCUUUGCACAGUCAACUAACGGUCAAUGUUAAAAUUAACUGACGGUAGGGGGUUUUUUACAAAUAAACGGAUUCUCGCCAUUUACUUGCAACAAGCCCAAACCUCAGGGGAAGUUUCUAAAAAUUACCCUUUUUGAA